UUGAAACCGAUCUAACAGCUUUACUGUAGCAGAGAAACAGUGGGGGAGACGCGCUGAAAAAGUCAGCGGGACAAUGAAGCAGGAUGUCGAAAAUGCCAAGUGACGGGAGGAGUGUGGACAAGACACAAAAUGAAUAGAGACGCAACAAAAAUCUGGCAUGAUGACGAUGGACAGCUGACUGCUUGUCUGCGACAAUGGCGGCCAAGUACCCGGAUGAACAAGCGUGACGUUACGUGCAACCCGGCCAUAAGCUGUAACUCAAAUGCUGAAAAAGUUUUGCUCAUCAAACGCGACCCGACCUCCACAAGGCAGCGUGGCGGCCGUCCGACAGAGUGUGCCCGCGUGUGAUGUGGAUCCAGAUUCCGUCGCCGCUAACGGCCUCCUAUAAAUCACCCAUCCUUCCAUCCCAAGGUUAGUGAGAGAUGCUCAUGAGGGCGAUCUGCCUGACAACUCCUGCUUAUAUGCGGUAUAAGUACCUCAAGCCUCCCUGUUCUGGCUAAAAGUUCUUUCAACAGAGAGGGGAAAAAAAUUGAUGGGUGACUUUGGAAGCACCAGGGUGCUUUUCCCCCUCACUUUUUCGUUACCUGUUCUUUAGAAGGCCAGUCAGGUAAGAACAGUUUUUCUUUUUGUUUGCCUAGGUCAAAUAAGAAAAGAACACACACUAAUUUGCACUAAUUUUCAAAGUAUACACGUAGGGAUACUCUGUUGUGAUGUGACAAAGUAUCGUGUCAAGCAAAUGGACUAUUGUAUAUCCUCCUUGAAGAAUGUUUAUCUUUGUUCUGUCAUAAAAUACAAUUACACAAUUAGGUUCUUCAAUUAUCGUCACAGGGGAUCCUCAGUUUAAUAUGGUCCCAAUGGUCACGGAUACAAAAGUCAUCUGAAGAACUUGUUUGGACCCGUUUCAUUGUGCAAGCCCACCACCGGAGUAAAGGAGAACUUCCGCUGCCCGAGGCCGGGGACCCCGUCCCGAACCCCGGAGACCCACCGAGAGAACCCGGAGAUCCAGUGCAAAUCCCCGGGGAGAUGGUCCCUGGCGAUCCAGAGAGGG